rnacentral:rRNA from 1 species
GACGAACGCUGGCGGCGUGCCUAAUACAUGCAAGUAGGACGCAGUUGCGAACGGGUGAGUAACGCGUAGGUAACUACCUAUUAGAGGGGGGUAACUAUUAGAAACGAUAGCUAAUACCGCAUACUAGUAGAUGGCCCUGAGUUGUAUUAGCUAGUAGGGAGGGUAAUGGCCUACCUAGGCAACGAAACAUAGCCGACCUGGGAGGGUGAACGGCCCAACUGGGACUGUGACACGGCCCAGACUCCCUCUGGAGGCAGCAGGAGGGAAUCUUCGGAAAUGGGGGGAAACCUGACCGAGCAACGCCGCGGGAGUGAAGAAGGUUUUCGGAUCGUAAAGCUCUGUUGUGAAGGAAGCGGUACUUAACCAGAAAGGGACGGCUAACUACGUGCCAGCCGCCGCGGUAAUAC